rnacentral:rRNA from 1 species
AGUGAACGCUGGCGGUAGGCCUAACACAUGCAAGUCGAACGGCAGCACAGUAAGAGCUUGCUCUUACGGGUGGCGAGUGGCGGACGGGUGAGGAAUAUAUCGGAAUCUACUUUUUCGUGGGGGAUAACGUAGGGAAACUUACUCUAAUACCGCAUACGACCUACGGGGGAAAGCAGGGGAUCUUCUGACCUUGCGCGAUUGAAUGAGCCGAUGUCGGAUUAGCUAGUUGGCGGGGUAAAGGCCCACCAAGUGGAGGAUCCGUGGCCGGUCUGAGAGGAUGGUCGGCCACCCUGGAACUGGGACACGGUCCAGGCUCCUACGGGAGGCCGCAGUCGCGAAUGUUGGGCAGUGGGCGCAAGCCUGGUCCAGCCAUACCGCGUGGGCGACGAAGGCCUUCGGGUUGUAAAGCCCUUUUGUUGGGAGAGAAAAGCAGCAGGUUAAUACCCAGCUGUUCUGACGGUACCCAAAGAAUAAGCACCGGCUAACUUCGUG